rnacentral:lncRNA from 1 species
AGGGUACAGACAGGAAAGCAUGCCAGCCAGUUAAAGGUUCAAUAAUACAUGAAUUUUAUUCUCUUGCUGAGAGCUUGUAACCAACAAAAAAAGUAAACCAUGGAAAAUAAUAAGAUUUAUGGGCCUCUUGUGCUUUAAAAAUAAAGGUACCCAACUAAUAUGCUCAGAUAUAGCAAGCUUAGUGGUCCUUUGAAGAGGGCGGUAGACAUUCUUUUAUACCCAAAAACUAUGGCAGCAGUUCAAAUGUGACCAAGGUAAAUGUAGAAUGGAGAUGUUCUAAACACAGCUAGGACUCAGCAAAUCUAACACACUAAAAUCAUAAGAUUACAAUUUGAAAGAAAAUGCACAAAACCAAAUAGGAAUUUUGAGAUUUUUUCAUUUGAAGGUAAUCUUAACGCUAUUAAAUUCACAAAUAUGCUAAUUUAAAUACCCAUCAUAUCAUGGUUUGGAAAUGGGAAAUUCAUACAAAAUAGUAAUUAACAAUGAUCUUCUUUACUUGUUAACUCACAAGGAAACACCUUCGAAACUGCAUUGUGUUAAAGUUUCUGUACUAAAAUGUAGAAAAACUGAACUACACAAAUAUUGAAAAGUUAAAAAUUCCUUAAUUUUUUAUUCCUGGUACCACUACCACAAUUUACAGGGCAAUAUACCUGAUGUAAUGAAAAGAAAAAGAAAAGACAAAGCUACAACAGAUAAAAGACCUCAGGAAUGUACAUCUAAUUGACACUACAUUGCAUUAAUCAAUAGCUGCACUUUUUGCAAACUGUGGCUAUGACAGUCCUGAACAAGAAGGGUUUCCU